CGUGAGGCGUUGGACUUCCAUGAGCUGAACAACUUAAUUGGGAGCCGGUUGUGUUGGAAAAUACAAGAGUACUGGGUGGCUCUAGUACAAACACUGGACCUUGUUGACCAAAUACUGUUACAAAGAUAGUGGAGGAAUGCGGAGAAAUUCGGAGGAAUGGAGAAUCUACGUCACAGAAGCACACAUGAAAAUGACCGUGGGAUUGCUUGGGUUGUAUAUAUAUUUAUUACAUAGGUGAGUACAUAUAAACAUGAGUAUGUGGAGGUGAUAAAAGGGAAUAUGGCGGUAUAGACCGUCCAGAACGAUAUGUGGUGGUACAUACACUACCAACCCCCCUUUUCCCCUUUAAUAGUAUAGUAUUGAAGAGGAACAG